GCCACUGUCCCCUUCCAAUAGGCACACGGGACAGGGAAAUAAGAGGGGCUGAUUCUCACGUGGUCUCUAUUCCUGCCCCUCCCUCUCCCUCAGCCUUCUCCUCCUCACUCACAUCCCCUUUCACGCAGUGUGCACUCCUUUCCCCUUCCCGGAGCGACCGGGAAGAGCCGCGUGGAUGCACUCCCAGAUUUCAGCAUGUUCGCUGCCGAUCUGUACACUUCUCUUUUCUAGUAUCAAAGACGGUCAGACUCGAUUCAUCCUAAAGUUCCUUUGAGAAUACAGAAUUAAAAGGAAACGGAAUGUCCAAAGCAACCGCCCGUAGCCAAAUGUAGACAUCAGUCAAAGUUCGCUGAACUGAGAGCAAGUCCCUCCCCUCCUGCUGAUCAGAAGAGAGAUCCACAGAUCACACAGAAUCUGUCUGGAACUAUUCUGAAUGACUAAUGCUGAACUCUUUCCAGGAAGAUGGAACCAGACUCAGAAAAGGGACACGUGACCCUUAGGUUAAUCAUGCUAGCUUCAUAAAGAGAGGACAGAACAUAGUAGCAGGAGAAAUACGCUUUCUGCGUAUAAAGCAGAUUAGCUGGCUGGGCGUGGUGGUUCACGCCUGUAAUCCCGGCACUUUGGGAGGGCGAGGUGGACACAUCACAAGGUCAGUAUACCGAGACCAUCCUGGCUAACAUGGUGAAACCCUGUCUCUACUAAAAAUACAAAAAUUAGCAGGCGUGGUGGCGUGCGCCUGUAAUCCCAGCAACUCCGAGCGGCUGAGGCAGGAGAAUCACAACUGGACGUUGCAAUGAGCCGAAAACGCGGAAUUGCACUCCAGCCUGAGCGACAGAGCAAGACUCCGUAUCAAAAAAAAAAAAAAGAGGGGGGCCGGGGGCGGUGGCUCAUGCCUGUAAUCCCGGCACUUUGGAAGGCUCCGGCGGGAGGAUCACGAGGUCAAGAGAUCGAGACCAUCCUGGCCAACAUGGUGAAACGCCCAUCUCUACUAAAAAAUACAAAAAUUAGCUGGGCGCGGUGGCGCACACCUAGUCCCAGCUACUCCGGAGGCUGAGGCAGGAGAAUUGCUUGAACCCGGGAGGCGGACGUUGCAGUGAGCCGAGAUCACGCCACUGCACUCCAGCCUGGCGCCUGGCGACAGAGCGAGACUCUGUCUAAAUUUAAAAAAAAAAAAAGAAAUGAAGAUUAGCUGUCUUCUGGAAAAUAUCAUUGCUUUCCUUAGCAGGUACCCUUGCCUCUCGGGUAGCAGCUGAGCUUCGGCUCAGAACUGAGGGCAUUCUAUCCUCUAGCAACUGAGCCAGUACUUCCACUUUCCUUCCUUAGAAGCCUCCAUUACCACCCACCUCAUCAGUCCCAACACUCCCUGUAAUGGUCUUUAUGUUUGUGUCUCCCCAAAAUUUAUAUAUUGAAACCCUGAUCCCAACGUGAUGAUAUUUAGGAUGGGAUCUCUGGGAGGUCAUUAGGUCAUGGAGUUUAGAAUACAAAUAAAUGGGAUUGGUGACUCUUUAUCCACCAUGUGAGGAUACAAGAAAACAGCCAUCUGCAAUCCCAAGGAAGCCCCUCAUCUUCAGAAGCAGACCAUGCUGGCAACCUGAUCUUGGACUUCCAUUCUCUAGAACUGUGAGAAAUAAUGUUUGUUGUUUAAGCCACCCAGUAAUUUGUUACAGCAAUCUGAACUAAAACAUUUUCUUUUUAUGACAAAUAUUUUGAUGCUCCUUUUAUUUUCCUGAAGCAUAAUUCAUAAAGAAUGUAACUUACCUCCACACACAAUUUUAAACAAAUAUUAAAAAACAAAAAAUAGAGACAGUGUCUUGCUAUGUUGCCAAGGCUGGUCUCAGCCUCCAGGGCUCAAACAAUCCUCCUACCUUGGCCUCUCAAAGUGCUGGGAUUACAGGCAUGAGCCACCGUGCCUGGCCUAAAAGAUUAAUAAAAUCUUUUAAAGAAAUGUAAAGGAGUCUACAGCCAUACCACCCUCAAUGUGUCUGAUCUCGGAAGCUAAGUGGGGUCAGGCCUGGUUAGUACUUGGAUGGGAGAUAAGAGGAAUAGUAGAAGGACUAUGACUUAUAAUUAAAUACUAUGUGUUUAGAUAUGUAAAUGCUUGUGUAUAACAUUCAAGAAGACACAAUGUGAUACUCAGAUAUUUGCAUCUCUCUAUAAAAUCACCUUGAAUAUAACAGCUACAAAUGCAGAAUGAUACAGACAUAAUGGUGAUUCAAAUACCAUGAACAGAAUUACUGAUGUGGUAUGAUUUUCCAAAAUAAUAAAAAACUUU